rnacentral:lncRNA from 1 species
CCUGAUGAAUGAACUAACGUGAGUGAGGCGGAGGAGGGCCCCGCAGGGGCGGAGCGAGCUCCCAGCCUUUCGCGGAGGAGGGACCGAGCUGGAUCGGCAGAAAGGGAAGGAGAAGGUCGCUGUGGGCCAGGGAAGGGGGAGCCCGCCCUCCGCGCCCUCGGUCUCCCUCACACGCGCGUCUCCCGUCUCGCCGGCUCCGGGCUCCUCACCUCACAGCCUGGAGCUCCCUCCCGGCGUCCGGCCGAAAACCCUCCUGUGGCGGCGGAAGUCCAGGGCAGCCGUCCUCAUCCUCCCAGCCCGCCCGGCCGGGCGUACUCGCUGAGGCGGGGUCUCCGCAGGCGCCCGGCUCCUUUCCCGGCCCGUCCAGACCGCGUCUCCCGAUCAUCCGGAAAGCCACGGCUCGGCUCGGGGGCAAAUGGAGGCGCCUGAAAAACAAUGGUGUUGCUUUCUCCCCCGCCCGCACCUUCCUGAGCGCUGGGCUCUGGGCUGGGAGGCGGCGCCGCGGAGGCCGGGCGCGGGCCGAGGAGGGCGGGGCGGGGCCGGCCGCGGGAGCCGGGGUGCACUCACCGCCGCGGCGCGUCCCUGUUGGCGGGCGGCGCAGGCCUGGCCGCCGCGGGAGCCCGCCGGACGCCGAGGAAAGGAAAGGCCGGAGCCCUCCGGCUCCCUCCCCUGGGACACUUCCUGCUCCGCUCUAGGACUGGGGAGGUCUCCGCAUCUCAGUGGUUCGCUCCCCCGCCCCCCGGCCGAGGUGUGCGCUGGGGGUGACAUCCGACACCCCCGGCCCGCCCCGCUCCGCGCGCGCCUGGGCCUGGCCGCCGGGCCGGGGGCUUUGUGGGUCAGCCACGUCGCCGCGCCCGGGCUUCCCCGCGGGCCCGCCGGUCCGGAAGGUCGGCCCGGGGCUCUUUUCUCCGCUGUUCUCCUUCUCUGGCGCCCCCAGGACACGCGGCCAGUGGACGCCCGGAACGGCCGACCGGGAGUCGCGGCUGGGGAUGGAAGCUGGAAUUGGGGGUGCGGGAUGGAGCGGAGAGAGGAGGCCCCGCGCGCCGUCGGCCGCCUCAUUUCAGACUCCCCUGCGACCCCCCCCCCGCCGCCAGCCGAAGCCCGGGCCGCCCAGCCCCUCCUGCCGCUGCGGGACGCCGAAGGCUCCAGAGCUUGAGAGAAAGUGCGAACCCGGUCCCUGAGCAGGUCUGAUUCCCAUGGCCCCUUCGCCAUCUGCUCUGCACCGAAAUUGGAUUCUCCUACGCAGAGGAGAAGGUGGAGAAGAUUCUCCGUCUUCCGGAGGGUAGCUACUGCCGGUAGCUCCGAUUUCCUUCGGAUCCCCUUUCAAGGGCAAGCAGAAGGAAAUCAGUUUCUCCAAAGAAAGUGGCCCGGCUGAGUAAGUGGGAACAAGGUGGUUGGACUGAGGCACGGGAUCCUUUAGCUCCGUUGCUCUUCUAAUCCCGUGGCCCUGGGCACCGCCACUUCCUCCUCUGAACUGCUGGAAUAAUCACUUCUGACUAGCAGAGUUACUGGGAGCCGCUGUUUGUCAGUGUUCACAUUCUGACUUUAGCAGGAGAUGGAGCGAGCGAAGGAGUGAAGCCCUUGUUUGUGAACAGUGAUUGUUUCCCGGAUGACAGCCAGAUGCCGGGCAGGGCCACGCAGAUCUUAGCUGGAGCCUACAGGUACAAGUGAGAGCCACCCCCUUUGACGUAACUGGACUGGCAUUUACAGAACUCAUGUACAGCCCACUCUCAGGAACACCAGCCAGGAACCGUGACAUGGAGGAGAGGAAUUGGGAGGAACCGAGGGGUCAUCAAAGGCUGGUAGGGCUUAGGUGCUCUAGCAAACAUCCUAGUCUGUGGGGUUCCAGAGCUCUGGUGCUACAGCUCCCAACCCUUUGAUUGGCCCAGGAACUGGCUGUUGAGUGGGCAUCCGUGUUCAUAGCUCUGCCCCUUGCAACCCUAAAGCAGAUAAAAUGCAGGAGGCAGAAAUUGCUGGCAGACAGCAUCCAAUUAAUCCCCACUACCCAAUUCAGUUUCUUCCCCUGACCUGACACGUCCCUGCCCAGCUGUGCCUCCCACUGUUCACCUUUUGAGGCACAAAACGGGCUGUUUAUGCUGCUGCUGCAUUUAGCUCAAAACAGGGCUUCAGAGUCAAGGUUCUGGACUCAGGCACCCGGAUUAAAUCCUGCCCUAUGAAUUCCUAGCCAGGUGACCUCAGGCCUACAUAACCUUUCUGUACCUCAACUUCCUCAUCCAGAAAACAGGGAUGAUGCUGUCUACCUCAUUGGAUGGUUGUGCAGGAUCAAAGAUUCAGUCAUUCAGCAAACCUAUACCGAGUACCUACUGUACACUCAUGAGUGCUAGGCAGCCAGCCUUCCAGGUGCUCAGGUACAUCUGUGAACACAACUGGCUAUUGGAGGAAGCAAAAUCAGUAACAUGACCUGCUCUCUUUGAUCUGUGCUACAGAAAAAAAGGAAAGUGGAGAGGCAUCAGGAAGUCAGGAGUGCUGGGGAGGGGCUGGUAACAGUCAUGGUAUUAAAGAGGAGGGCAGGCAGGCCUUACUGUGAAGGUGGUAUUUGAGAUGAAGUAGUUGGUCAGAGUCCCUGUUUGACACAUGGAGACCACCUUGACAGCAAAGGCCCUAAGGGGGAGCGGUGCGAAGCAAGGUGGGCUGGUGAGUGAGAGGAGAGGGAUGGCAUAGAGCUGGGUGGGGGCACAGGAGCCCGUGGGGAAGGUGUUCGCCUCUGAAUGAAGUGGGGUUGUAUCAGAUACCACGGGUGAAGCAUCGGGAAGAGGAUCCUGCCUGUAAACCCUGCUCAAGGACUGCACCAUCAUCAUGCCCAGUGUGUGCGUGUAUUAGGUUGGGUUUCAGCCGAGCAAGUCUGAGGCCCCUUUCCCGCGCCCUCUGGUGGAAAGUGUUCGCUUUUCUGUCCACCCAUGUGAAGGAUUCACCCCGACCCUCCUCAGGUGGCCUUUACUUUGCAGGAGCAAAGCAAGGUGGAUGAGGAGAUACAUGUAUGUGGCACACAGCUUUCUUCACUUAGCAACACGUCAGAUGCAGCGUAGAUGUGCGGAUGAAACCACCAUUGCAAAAUUAUCACUGAGACAGUCAGAGAAACCUGACAUGGCUGACUCCAUGUUGCUUUUAGCCUCACAGGCUGGCUCUCUUAGCUCAUUCCUAAGCAUGGGCCUGAAACUGCCAUUGCAAAAUCGUAACUGAGACAGCAAAAGAGACUUGACCUAACCAACUCCAUCUUGCUUCUAACCUCCAAGCUGUCCUUGUUCAUUCCUGGGUGUAGGCUGAACUAACUUUGGGAGGAACUUAAUUUAUAGUUUAAAACAAAGACGAUAAGACGAUAACAGCCCUUUCUCAAAACAAACAUCCUUCCUGACUGGGGACUAGACUGCCUUUGUAGGAUUAACAAAUUAGCCACAAGAUCAGAAAUUAUAGUUUAGGAGUCAUGCAGCUGGAGGCUCUAAGAUUGUGACCCUCCCUAAACCGCUCAGUGCUUGAGAUGUUUUACAGACCCUGCACUUAAUGGAUCAGCUGGCACCACCCAGAUGGAUAAACUGGCUCAUGUGAUCUUGUGGCCCCCACCCAGGAACUGACUCAGUGCAAGAAGACAACUUCAAUUCCCUAUGAUUUAAUGUCCUACCGAAUCAAUCAGCACUCCUGACACACUGGCUUCCCCUCACCCACCAAAUUGUCCUUAAAACCUCUGAUCUCCAAAUGCUUGAGGAGACUGAUUUGAGUAAUAAUAAAACAAGGCUCCUGCACAGCCGGCUCUGCGCGAAUUACUCUUUCUCUACUGCAGUUCUCCUGUCAUGAUAAAUCGGCUCCAUCUAGGCAGCCAGCAAGGUGAACCCACUGGGUGGUUACAGGCCACGCUAAGUUCGGGAGAAAUUUAGUUUAUGGUUUAAAUGAUAACAGCCCUUCCCCAAAACUAAACUGCCCUGGUAAAACUAAUGAAAGGCCGCCAAGUUAGGAGGAUGACAGGGGCCUGAAUUCUACUGAGCCGUAAGCGUAAUUACCGGCCAUUAUUCCAGAGGACACAAGAUUUGCAACUUGCCUAAUUACUCCUGCAAAGAACAUCGCUACUGUAGCACCUGAGAAUGGCCUUUUGAGAUGUGUUUUCAGGCUUUUGCACUUCUGACAACUGAUGGCUGCACUUGGACUCGCCAGCCGGUCCCGCGUCCCCACCAGAAGCAGAGUAAGCACAAGAGGACAGCUCCGACUCCCUAGGAUUUCAGCUCUGACCAGUCGCACGCCUGGCUCACUGGCUUCCCCACACCCACCAAGUUGUUCUUAAAAACUCUGCUGCCCGAAUGCUCAGGGAGAGUGAUUUGAGUAAUAAUGAAACUGUUGUCUCCUGCACAGUCGGCUCUGCGUGAAUUACUCUUUCUCUAUUGCAAUUCCGCUCUCUUGAGAAAUCGGCUCUGUCCAGGCAGCAGCAAGGUGAAGCCACUGGGCGGUUACACUGAUAUGAUUCCCCCUUUGCAGUUUUUACUCUCUUGGUGCUGCAAACAGUUCCUCACUGAGGACCCUUGUACACGUAUCACUGUGAGCAUGAAUCCGAAUUUCUUUAGGAGACAUACAUACUAGUGGGUAUGUGCAUGUUAUGUAAUUUCUCUUAGCACUGUUUCCUCACUCAUCAAAUAAGGAUCAAGUAGUUCUCACCACACAGGGUUAUUUUAGAAAUAAUUUAGUAUACAUAAUAUACAAUGCAAUAACAAGUACUGAUGUCUACUUCUUUUAGGUUAUAUGAUAAUACCUUAUACAUAGUACAUGUGUGAUUAUAUAUAUUGCAAUGUAGAGUACGAUCUAUAAUUUACAGAACUGUUGUUUAUAUAUAACAAAUGCUGUCCUUGCGAUAGUUUGCUCAGAAUGAUGGUUUAUGUAUACAUAUGUAACAAACCUGCACGUUGUGCACACGUACCCUAGAACUUAAAGUAUAAUUUUAAAAAAUGCUAUAAUUCAUGUGGUGAUUAUUAUCUACCAGUUACAUCAUCGAUAGAAUGAGGACGUUGUUAACGGUACACGCCAGACAGGAUGGCUGUGAGGAUCUGUGAUAAUAAGAAUUAGAUAUUUGGUCUUUGUCCCUGUUUCCUGAUGGAGGCUUCUAAACCCCUUGGAAUUCCCUGACUGAUAGGGGCAAGAGGAAAUCUUUUGUUAUUCCUAACGAGCCCCUUUCAUCCAUGCCUGUGUUUAUGCUAAUGAGGUGACUCCUGGAGGAUGAGGGCUGGUUGCCAGGGGAAUCAACUUUGCCUUGCAACUUUCAGCUCCAGUCCGUGACUUCCAGGGAAAGAACAGGGGCUGGAGAUUGAGUUUAAUCGCCAAUGACCAGUGAUUUGAUCAUUCAUGCUUAAAUAAUGGAACCAUAAGAAACCUAAAGAAAAGGUUUGGAGAGCUGCUGGGUUCAGGAGCACAUUCGUGUGCUGGGAGGGUGUUGUGCCUGGUGAAGGUGUGGAAGCGCUGACUCUGCCUCGCAUACCUUGUCCUGUCUGUGUCUUUCAUCUGGCUGUUGCUGAGUUGUGCUGUUUAUAAUAAUAAACU